CGUCCUAAUUUUCAGUUGCUUCGUGUGGUCAAAUAUCUGUUCUGAUUCCCUGAAAAAUCUACCAUUCGGUUCGAGAGUACUCGGCAUCCCUCUCACCUCGAUUCAGCGCCGCCGGAGAGGGCACCCCACCGCCGCCACAAAGAUUCCCGGACCCUGCACAGGCCGGGCGAGCCCGGAUCGAGUGCCACGCGCAGGCCCCAUCCCCUAUAUCUAGCGGCCGAUGUGGGAUCCACGUCCUGUAGCCGGAUCUGGAGUGCCAUCUGUACAACCAGGGCGGACACCAAGGGCAUCUUCCUCCAGUCCUUGGUGAUGAGCGUCUGGGCCAAGGAGUGAAGUCAGGUGAGGGAGGGCAUGUGGGCUUCGGGAGCAGCGGAGAGCGGGAGGCGGGCCGGCCGGCAGCGGCGUUCUGUUCGGGGAUGCUGGAGCACGGCUACAGGAAACAUCGCCUCUGCCCGUCCGCCGGGGACACACCACGGCCAGCUGAAUGGGCUAAGGAUAAGGCGUUCAUGCGAGUUCUCAAGUACUCCAAUGCCAGCAAAAGUGUACAACUUAAAGCAUCUCCGUAAAGUGCAUUCUGUUCCAAAAGAUCCCAGCUUGGGAUUUGAUAACCUUAGGAGCCACAAUGUUUUUCCUCCUCAAUGGACGGUGCACAACAAGGACUACAUAUGACGCUCCAGAACCAUCUGUUGAUGUGUGUUCGCAGCUUGUGCAAAGAGCUGUUGAAAGAAUGGAUGGUUCACUGUACGUAAUAGAAGCAUCACGAGGCAUUGUAGUUGUUGACAAAUAAUGAUUGUGUCCCAAGACCGCAGAUUAUGAGAAAAAAUCUUGUUUCUAGUUAGAGAUGAACAACUAUAAUGGUUGUCCAUAGUGUGUUUUUGGUUCAUAAUUUCUUAAUGGUAUUUUUAACUCGAGAAUUGUAAGCGAGGAUUGUGUUCAUUAUACGUGGUUUUGAUUAAUAAAAAUAGG